UGAGCAGUAAAUGUGUUUGCUAUUUCCCCAAAAGGAAAUUGAAGUAUACAGAAUGCUUAUUUGGUCUACUCAGUAUCAUCCUAAAUGUAUGUACCAAUGCUUAGGAGUUUGCAGUUCACCCGCAAACCUCAGCGAUCCAAGCUCCCCUGGAUGACCAUCACUCACCAAGAAAAGAGCAAUAACAGGUACAUUUCCAAAAUUAUCUUCCUUGUUGAACAAUCCACACAGGAACACGAUGAUUCUGCAGGUCUGGAGUGAUCUGGAAAUCACGGGUGGAGUGAAAAUACGUCAGGAAGCUUUUGGGAAGCCGUAGUGGAUCUUGGGAAGCCAUGAAGGGGCUCCUUUCUGUAGAAUACAGCUUCCAGAAGAAGGAGUUGAUUUUUUUGUAAAUAGGGUCUCAGAAGGCAAAUGAAGGGAGAGGCAAGGAAAACGGGCUUCCUCAGUAGCAGCUAGGUUGUCAGAAAAGAUACCUUAUGGCCAGUGAUUUGGUCUGACCUGGUUUGUUUGCCUCACAAAACAUCGGGGUAUGUUGUUUUCUAGGACCUGUUUUGCUAAUCCAGGACUGUUCUCCAGCACUAACUCUAAAUAAUCCCUUCUGCUAGAGUCCACUUUCUGGAACCUGUUGUGAGUAUUGUGAAUUGUUCUCCAACCUCUAUUCUAGUUAUCUCAUUUCCAUUGAGACUAGCAAAAGCACUUGCUUGAGAUUCUGUGUUCAAGUUUCAACUUUAGCAACUCACUUUUCCUUUAGGCCUCCGUUUUCAACGUUUCCCAAACUUGGUCCGUUGUGUGAGCUGGCUGAUAAAAGUUCCAGAGGUCACAUAGGUACAUUCACUCACUUUCAACCAAUAUUUCUUAAGACUGUGUUACGCUGUGCACAGGAGACAAGACACAGAAAUAGAUGACCCAUGAUUUGUCUUCUUUUUAUUUAAAAAAAAAAAAGAAGAAGAAGCUCUGUAUCUGUGAACAAGUCAGAUAGACACAGAUGAUUUCAGCAUAAUUAGGAGGAAUCACUGAGCUCAGCCCAGGGAGCUAGACUAGCUCAGAGGAGUACCUGAUUCACACUAGGAAGGUAUUGGCACAGGCUUCCUGGAAGUGGAGACACUGAAUGGAAUUCUAAAGGAUGUGAUACCUUCUACAUGUUCUUUAAGAUACAGGAUGGUGGGUGUUCUUAAUGGAGAAGUAGGAGAAAAGGGUUUUCCUGGUGUGAGAAACAAUGGAGAUUAGAAAAAGCAUGAUAAUCAGAGGACAAUUCACAGCUGUGGUAUGACUGGAAUAAAACCAUCCAUCCUCCAGAUGCCAGGAGGCAGGCACAACAGUCACUGUCCUGUGGCCUUCAUUCCUUGGGGAAAACACCACAAUGGUCAUCACCUGAACAAAUGGAGUGGGGAGAUGUGGAAGUGAAAGAAAGGGAACGCUGAAGAAGACAGUAUCAGAGACCCAGUAGCAAUGAAACCUCAAUUGGCACAGAGGAUUUGGGAAGAAGGACCCAGAUUUGAGUAUUUUCAGCUCUAGGUGCUGAAGAUGUUCAUGACCAAAUAGACAUGGUAGUUGAGGGAAAGAGGGUUUUAGGGAGCCCUUCUCCUUGGAAUUCUAGGUAAGUGAUGAUGCUAUUUACUAAGAGAAGACAUCCAGAAGAAGGAGCUUGCAUUGUCUUUAUUUUGAUUUUGUUUUGGUGGAAUUGAGAAUACAAUGUAUUAUUACUGUGGAGGAGGUGGAAAUAAUGCCAACUUAAACCUUCCCUCCCCUAGGGAGCUCUCCCUAACAAUCUGGGCUGGAAAGAGUGUGUUCCUUUAGGAAACAAAGCAUGUAUUACCCAUUGAGAAUCCAUUAUUACUUUGAAUUUUUAGUUUUGUUUUCAUGUGUUGCUUUAUCUUCUUAAUUAAAUUAUCUCUUCUAGGGAGAAGACAUCUUACUCUUAUUGGAUCAUGCACAGUGCCUGAAGCAUUCUGUUGCAUGUAGAAGGUAUUGGUGGAUGUUUGUUAAUUGAUUUGUUGAAUUUUUUUUCACUGAACACAUUCCCAAGAAACAGCCAAACCCAGAGUAAGGAAACCAUCUGGCAAGAACCGCUCAAGAGAAUGCUUCUUGGCUCUCACAUCUUAAAGGUCUUAAAAUAGCUAACAUUUAUUGAACAUUUUACUAUAUGCCAGGUAUUAUGGGCUAAGCCCAUUAUAUAUGUGAUCUCAUAUAAUUAAUCUUCAAAACAAUCUUGUGUCAUAAAUGCUACAAAUACUUUGAUUUUAAAACUGAUGAAAAUGAGAUUCAGGGAGAUUGUCAUUUUAUUUGCAGUCAGUAAAUUGCAGAUGUAAGAUUCAAAACCAGACUUCACAUCUACCGACUUCAGUGACCCUGAAAUUUGUUCACAGAGAGCAUUUAACAUAACUGUCUUCAUCAUCUCCUUCUCUACAUUAAAAAUUAUGGGUAAGUCUCUUGCUUUUCCAGUCUUCAUUGCUUUUCUAGUCUUAGAAAUAUUAUACAAAGACAAGAAAUACAAGAGACUUACUCAUAGCUAUGUGUCCAGAGCUAGAGUUAGAAUUCGCAUCUAGAUCUUGAGACAGGUAACUUCUUACUCUACUGCGUUGGUUUUAAGACAAAUCUGUUGAGGCAAACUUUUUGCUGGGCACUGUAGGCAACAGAAAGAAACUGAGGGUCUGCUAUUUGUCUCCAGAGGCCUUACAAACUGGUAGAAGAUGCAUAACAGAAGAGCUUAUGAAGUUAAAGAUGACAGCAUAGCAGCACUGGUGAGAUCCUUUUAGACAUAACAUGGUAGGAAGGACUGUUUGACAAAGUGAAUGCCUGUCUUUCAGAAUAUACAGGGAGGUGUGAUGUACCCAUUAUCACAAGCAGAUGGAAUCCCUAUAGAGUCGGAUCUCAUCUACAUAUCACCUAUUAUAUGUAGUUAUUGAUGGAUAAAUACUUCAACAACUAAAGGCAGAAAGAGAGCAGGUGGGCAUAGGAGUUAGUAAACAUCUCACUGCUAUUGUUUUUCAAGGUGAAGCUAGAGAAGAAGAUUCCUAAGAUGUAGGAGGAAAUUAUCAUACUGAGUAAGAGGGUGCAAUUUUGGAAGGUUGGACUUGAUGACCUCUCCAGCAUUAAGGGUGAAUGAUUCUUUCUAGGGAUUUGGUUUGUUGCCAGAGAGCCUGGCUACCUGCUAUUUAGUUGCUUUGUUGAUUAGCAAAUUUCCUCUGAAAUAUUCCUCACAUUCAUGAGCCCCCUUCCUGGGGUAGGUGGACCCAGAAAAUGUUUUCUCCCAUUUUAGUUGGCCAUGUGUUUGAAACUCAGAUGGACCUAAGUCUUUCAGCAUCAUUGUCACUACUGUAUGUCUAUCCAUAAAAAGAAGGCAUAAGACUCUCUGUAGUAUCACGAAGUUAGCCAUUUGGGAUUGCAAAAACUUUCCUCUUUCCAUUGGAGAGAAAUAGUUUAGAUUAGAUGGUGGAGCCCCUACCACAUCUCCCAAAAUUUAAAUUAUAACAUGAACAGUAAUUUAGGUCUGAUUUUAAUAUUUUGUCAUUCUUAAACCUAAUAAAAGCUACAUCUUCCUAAAGACCCUCCUAAUUUUUAUUAUGGACAGUUCACAAAGACGUUAUUGGUGAUUCAAUCUUGAGUCAUGAAAAGUCAACCUUGAGCCACAAAAAGUCAACCUUGAGCCAAGCAGAUUGGAGAGUCAUACAUGCCAUUCCUGGGACCAUCAAAAAUGGCAGAGGUCACACAAAAAGGCAAAACUUUUAAGAGGUGUUUUAAACGUCGUAUGGGCCAAAGAGAAGCUGGAUUUCCUAUUGGAGUCACCUGUAACACACGUGUGACGAAAUUGGCCUGUGAGGACAAGGCAGUGAGCAGAGAGGACAGCAGUCCUUAUGAGAUCAAGCUCUAAGGUGAGGUUGCAGGAUCUGAAGGCCAGCUCCCCUGCUUGCUCACUGUAUGACUUUAGGCAAGUCAUUUUACUUCUGAAUGAUUCAUAUUGGAAGUAAAAUAUAUGAUUGGUUAAAAUAGUUUCUAAAUUUAUUAUGGGGAUUAAAUGGACCAAUAUACUCGAAGCUUUUCAGACAGAGUCUGGCGCAAAGUAAGCACUUAGAAAAAUGUAAGCUUUUAUUAUAAUAGAAACUAUUAAUAUAAUAAUUAUUCCUGGGUGUAAAAUUAGGGAAAAUCAUUAGAAUAGAAAGGAAGAAAGAAACAAGAAUCAGAAUAGGAGCAAGAGAGAUUUCAAGGAAGGGGUAAGGAUGUUUGGGAGAUACUAGUUUUCCCCUAGACUGGUAUCCAAACUAGAUUUUAAAAUCUUGAGAUAGGGCCUUGUCUUUUAUGAUGGGCAGGAUUUCUUUGCUCUUAGCAUUGAUAAAAUGUGGCAUGACCAGUGGCUGGUUGAAUGAUGUAUAGCUCCAGCUGGAAUCAAGAUCACAGUAUGCUGACCUCUGAACUUUGUAAGAUUGCAAUGAUUACUCUUCUUCCACUCAGAGGCUCAUUAGUGUCAAGCCAUGGUUGUCCCUGUUUUGAUGAGUAUUCACCACCUGGCUACAUGUGACCUGGCUUCUGGUUAUAACCAUACCAGCCUGCAUGACUUCCCAUAGCAUGCUGCCAUCAGACACUGCUCUCCCAUCUUCUGCAACAUGAGAUAACUUUUCACAAUUGGGGCAUGAGGGGCAGUGCUAGUGGAUACAACAUUUUAUGUCAAAUCAGGGGUUCUGCAAAAUGCCCCUGGUUAAUUUAGUCCAGAGUCUAAUGUAAAAAGGUAUCUGAGUAGCACAAAAUUGCAUAUAUAAUUGUUUUCCAUCAUUAUUUUAUAACUUUCCUCAAUAUCAUCCAGGUAUCCUAGACACAUUUGGAGAAUUCACCUGAGCUACAGGAUGUGGUAAGAUUUGGUGAGCAGGUGGUGAUUCUUACAGAAUCCCUCACACAUUCAUGCACAGAACUUCCCCAGCACACUCCCAGGUAGGACCACUUCCCUCUUCAUUGUGCAAAGAUUCACCACUGGUUCCAGCCUUCUCUGGCACUUUUAAGAUAUGCAUCAGGUUUUAUUCAUCUCUGAUUUUCUAGCCUCUGGCAGACUACCUGGUGUACCAGAGGCUUUGUAAGUAAUAGUUAAAUAAAGAGAAAACAUUAAAGCAACAUUGAAGGAAGAGGGUUAACCAGACUACAGAUUUGAGACCUCUAUCUCAGAGGGCCAACAGUCAUGUUGAUGUUUUCAUGCUUUCUUGGAUAUAAAAGUCACACUACACUUUCCCUCUCGGUGACCAUGUACAAAGGUUCAUUUAUAAUUAAUAGACAAAGUCUUUAAUAAAGCAAACCAAAUGUCAUCUUUCCUUUUUUCUGCAAUAUGAAGUCAUUAUUUCCACUGGAUGAAAGCACUUUUGACCUAUAAAAAUAAAAAAGUGAGAUGUUAGGUGACUUCAGUGCAUAAAAAUACUGUUUCUUGUUACCAAUAAUAUAUACUCAACCAUCGUCUUCAUCUUUAUCAUGGUCUCCUGGGGCAAACUGAAUCUGAGUUAGCAGGGUUUAAUAAAAGUUAUUCUGAACAUCUGGGUCAUUGUAGAGACACAUAUUGAAAAUUGAAACACUUUAUAUGUCAACAGAUGUUCUAGAAGAAGCCUGUCUAUUUUCUCUUAUUCAUUUAUGAGUCCAAGGAGAGGAAAAGUUCUUUGUUCAUCUCUCCAUCCAUGAUAUUAUGCUCCAUGCCUGAACCUCACCUAAUGCCUACUAUGUUUUAC
rnacentral:lncRNA from 10 species